GACUAGGGUCCUCAAUCCAAAACUGGAACCACUUACUCCUAACUGAAGCUUCAGUACACUUGAUGCCUACUGUGGUUUGAUUUUUUACCUACAUAUGACAUGUUCGCUCUACACUGAUCAAGAGAUCAUCAAGAAAGAAAACCAAGGCACUAGAAAGCAAGCACACUUAAGUAUUGAAGAUAAUUACAUCUUAAAUUUUGCCUGAACUGUAUAUUGUAGCAUACUUAAACCCAUUCAAGGAAAAAAUUGGCAAAUUGAAAAUUCUCCCAUUAAAGAUUGAUAUUUUUGCAAACUGACAAAUUUAACGAUUUCGGUACCCCUCCCCAAAAAUGCAGUCACAUAAAAUAUAUCAAUACUAUUUUGAAUUAGCUCUAGAAAUCACACUGAAACUAUGUUACAUUUACAAAUAUUAAAUUUAUUAUAACUAA
rnacentral:lncRNA from 1 species